rnacentral:rRNA from 1 species
AACGAACGCUGGCGGCAGGCCUAACACAUGCAAGUCGAGCGCCCCGCAAGGGGAGCGGCGGACGGGUGAGUAACGCGUGGAACGUACCCUUUGCUACGGAAUAGCCUCGGGAAACUGGGAGUAAUACCGUAUGUGCCCUUCGGGGAAAGAUUUAUCGGCAAAGGAUCGGCCCGCGUUGGAUUAGGUAGUUGGUGGGGUAAUGGCCUACCAAGCCGACGAUCCAUAGCUGGUUUGAGAGGAUGAUCAGCCACACUGGGACUGAGACACGGCCCAGACUCCUACGGGAGGCAGCAGUGGGGAAUCUUAGACAAUGGGCGCAAGCCUGAUCUAGCCAUGCCGCGUGAGCGAUGAAGGCCUUAGGGUUGUAAAGCUCUUUCAGCUGGGAAGAUAAUGACGGUACCAGCAGAAGAAGCCCCGGCUAACUCCGUG